CCGAGGUCGCCGCCCAGCUGCCAGGCUCCGAGCAGCACUGCUGAGUCCUCGGCGCGGGCCUCGCGGAACAGCUGCCUGUCCUGCCCGGAAGCCGGAUGCAGCUGCCACCGCUGCUGUGCCCUGGCCAGGGCAGGCUCUGGGUCAUCCUGCGGCCUUGAGUCAUCAGCUCCCGAAUCCAGGUCCGGAGAGGAUGCAUCUGCUGCGGCUCCAAGGUCCGAGCGCCCAGCAGCAGCAGGAGGGCCGAGAACAAGAGCUGCAAGUGCUUUUAUCACUCAGGGAAACAGAGGGCAGAUUCUACAGCCCUGAGAGCCCACAGACUGAGGGAUCGCAUUUACACACAGGGCAGCAGUAUAUCCUACCAAAGCAGAAUAGAAAGAGAGAGAAGAGAGUGCACAUGGAGCAGAGAAAGAAGUACAGAAUUCUCAGUUCUUUCACAGAGACAUAGGCAACGAAGUCAGGUUAAAUGCUGAUUCUGGAAAGAGUUGUGGACUUCAGCUCUGUGCUAAUCCAGAGUGCUUUACUGCUUGCCGAGCUCUUGGACUACUUUGACCUCACUGGAACCCCCACUGACCCAUUCAUGCCACCAUUUUGAAUUUGCAAAUGAAGAAGCUCAGUAUUCGGAAGGGCAGGAGGCCAACCGAAGCCGUCCACCUAUCCAGCUGGUGCCAGAGCAGAACCGGCCCCCCACUUCCUAGUCCGGCUUUUUGUAUAGUUCUGAUGCAUGCUCUUUUCUGGAUAUAACUGGAGGGAAA
rnacentral:lncRNA from 1 species